GAUUGAAGGGAGGGUCGCCGGCUCGCGGCGAGGAAGCCCUAAAGUCAUCUAUGUGUGGGAGCUCAUGGAAGGCCUCGACGCCGGCGAACCAAAAUGGGAAGACUUCGAGCCCGAGGCCGCGGGGACUGCUCCGAGGUCUCGCGAGCAUCGACGCGAAGACUCCACUAAAGUUCAUGAACCAGAUUGGUUCUCCGAGGAAGGCAAACACUUAACGGAGGCAAGGAAAACAAGGGGAACGCAGAAAAUGGGUCGAAUCAGAUUCAGAUCUAGAACUUGAAGUUCUGACGGCGUCGAGCUCGAUAGCGAGGAGGUAGUUGAAGAACUGACGUUGCUGGCGUUGAGGAGGCCCAGAUAUUGGUUGGGCAGGGCUCAGAGGUCCAUGGUAGCAAAGACGGCGAAGGUGAGGCCAUGGCCGUUGAGAUUCGAGUGCUCGGUGACUGCAAUGAAGACGAAGGAGGAGACGUCGCCACCCUUUGAGUUUUUGAACUGGAACGGGAGUAGUAGAAAGCGUGGCCCAUCAGGCGACUCGCCUCGUUGGUGAGCUUGAGGACGCCAUUGUUGUUGAAGAAGAAGAUGGAGGUGAACUCAAGAGCUGCAACUUUCCUCCAAGCGCAAGCAUGAAGAAGAUGAACAGUGAACAGAUAAAAAAAGAAAUAUCUUUGGACGAUUAUGCCCCUAGUUGUGUCGCCGGAAGAUUUGAGGUCCUUAUUUGAGACUAAAUGAUCACCUCGGACCCUUAUUUGAGACAACGUUAACUUCAGGUCCUCUUUUGAGAAAACUCAUCCACUUUGGGGCCUUAUUUGAAAUUUUCCC